rnacentral:rRNA from 1 species
AGAGUUUGAUCCUGGCUCAGGAUGAACGCUAGCGGCAGGCCUAAUACAUGCAAGUCGAACGGUAAGGCCCUUUCGGGGGAACACGAGUGGCGGACGGGUGCGUAACGCGUAUGCAACAUGCCUUCAAGCGGGGGAUAUACCAGGGAAACUUGGCGCAACACCCCAUGGUAUUGUCGGGUCGCAUGGCCUGGUGAUUAAAUCUUCGGAGCUUGGAGAUUGGCAUGCGUGACAUUAGCUAGUUGGCGGGGUAACGGCCCACCAAGGCGACGAUGUCUAGCUGGUCUGAGAGGAUGAUCAGCCACACUGGGACUGAGACACGGCCCAGACUCCUACGGGAGGCAGCAGUAGGGAAUAUUGGACAAUGGGGGGAACCCUGAUCCAGCCAUGCCGCGUGAGGGAAGAAGGUCCUCUGGAUUGUAAACCUCUUUUGGCGGGGGACAAACCUGCGCUAUACGCGCAGCUGAGGGUACCCGCAGAAUAAGCACCGGCUAACUCCGUGCCAGCCGCCGCGGUAA